GCAGCAGUGGGGCAUAUUGSACACUGCACUCAAGCAUAAUGCACAAUGGGCGAAAGCAUGAAGAAGCAAUUCSGCGUGUAAGGUGAUUUCAUUGGGGAGGUAGGCCGUUUUCUUCAUGGGCGAAUCCCUGGCCGUUCCCGGCGAAGAAACCCCGGCUAAAUUCCGUCCCAGCAGCCGGGUUAUUAGUGAGGUUGCAAGGUUUAAUGGGAUUUUUGGGCGUAAAGGCGCAGUAGGGCGGUCUGGCAAGUCGGAUGUGAAAUCCCCGGGCUCAACCUGGGAAGCGCAUUAGAAGGGCGCAGUUGAGGAUGGUGGGGGAGGGGGUAGAAUUCCAGGGGGAGCGGGGAAAUGCAGAGAUCAGGGGGAGCAUCCCUGUGGAGGAGGGGUCUCCCUGGCCAAAGACUGGCUGUCCGCGAAAAAGCGGGGGAGCAAACCGGAUUAGAUCCCCUAGUAGUUCACGUAAAAACGGUCACGAGGGGAGGUUGCAUCCCGAGGAUCCGUUCCGUAGCUAACGCRUAAGUCACCGCCUGG
rnacentral:rRNA from 1 species